UACGUAGGGUGCAAGCGUUAAUCGGAAUUACUGGGCGUAAAGCGUGCGCAGGCGGUUUUGUAAGUCUGUCGUGAAAGCCCCGGGCUCAACCUGGGAAUGGCGAUGGAUACUGGGCAGCUAGAGUGUGUCAGAGGAUGGUGGAAUUCCCGGUGUAGCGGUGAAAUGCGUAGAGAUCGGGAGGAACAUCAGUGGCGAAGGCGGCCAUCUGGGACAACACUGACGCUGAAGCACGAAAGCGUGGGGAGCAAACAGG
rnacentral:rRNA from 1 species